AACUCAGGGUGCUUUACAAUGGAGCUACAUUCCAAGCCCUUUUUAUUAUUUAUUUUGGGACAAGAUCUCACCAAGUUGCAGAAAAUCUCCCUAAAUUGCUGAGGCUGGCUUUGAACUUGCCAUCCUCCAUCGUCUGCCUCCUGAAUCACAGAUUACAGGCAUGAGCCCACGUGCCCAGCUUGAUUCCAUAUCUUAAAAUCUAAUGAUUUUUAAAAGGCCUAAAGUGACAUUUCUAGAUUGAGAGAUUUACCUAAAUGACAGUUUUAAGCUAAGAUUCCUUCCUAUCUCUUCAGCUCCCAUUAGCUCUCCUACUAUUUGAUUCCUUGUGCAGGCUGCUAAACUCUUUGUGCUUUGGAAUCUUCAUAUUGUGAAAUGGGAAAAGUAACAGUGCACACCUAUUCUUGCUUUCAAGAAGUUUAACAGUAGCCACGAAAAUUAUGGUCCCUGAUCUGCAAUUCUUGAUUUUACAUCUUGUGCUGUAGCCACUAAGAGCACAACUCAUCUCCAUCAAUGUCAGGAAAUAGCUGGGAGAACUUUUUUUCUUAAAGACAAUAAUAAGAACCAGGACUCUUCCAAUUACAGGUUUGUCUCAAAAAGUGAAUUUGCAUUACAGCAACUUGCUAACCCAAGUGCCACCUGUUUCUGUGGCUUUUUAGCCACUGAAACAAGAAGUACCUGCGGGGCAGAAUUUUCCAAACUUCCCUGCUCAGAAGACUCACCAAGAGUGUUUAAAACAAACAAACAAACAAACAACAACAACAACAAAAAACCCCACACAAUUCUAGAUCUAGAAUACAAAUAUAGAUCCUCAUCUGAUUUAGUAGGUGUGGGAAAAGAGGCAGGCAUCCGUGUUUUAAUGAGAGUCCUCAGGAAAGCCUUAUCUGUUGAGAAUGUCGCUGGAGGACAUUGCUGUCCCUUAUAGUUACAAAAAUUGAUUUCCUUUGUGUUAUGGUUUGGAGCCCAGGUGUUUCCCCAAAGCUCCUGUGUCAAUGCAGGAAUAUUCAGAGGUGAAAUGAUUAGAAUAUGAGAGCUGUAACCUAAUCCUUCCCUCCUAGUUUGAAUGGAAGGACAGGAUGGUAACUGGAGGCAGGUGGGGCCUGGCUGGAGAAGGAGGUCCCUGGGGGCGUGUCCUGGAAGGUGCAUCUCCCCCAUAGCUCAUCCCCCUUCCCUAUCUCUGCUUUCUAGCUGCCUUGAGCAGAGCAGCUUCCCUGUUCCACGCCCUUCUGUCAUGAUCUUCUGCCUCACCUUGGGCCCAGAGCCACGGGAAGUCAGCUGACCAUGGACUGAACCCCUGAAAUCUUGAGCCAAAAUAAACUUUCUCUCUUGUCAGUUGUUUUUGUCAAGGUAUUUUGGUCACAGCUACAAAAAGCUGGCUGAGGCAAACUGGUUUGAAUGGGAAGGAGCGGGGUGGGGGGUAGCUUUUUUAUUUGACCUUGACCUCUACCUGUCUGACCUUGUGUUUGCUCAUGCUCAGUUGUUGAAGAUGGGGAUAAGCUGGCCUUGGGCAGGGGUGUGAGGAGGUUAAGCAGCUGUGGCUGAUAAUAGGCAUUUAAUAAUCAAAGAGCAUAUGACUAUAACUAGUGUUUCUCGAAUGUUCAUUAGAGGUUUCUCAGAGACAAUGCCUAAAAGGGGCUGUUCUGUUUCUUACUGGGCCAGCCAGCCUUCUCUGGGCACAGGCAACUUUCCAGAAUGAAACCACAUGUGGUGAAGGGAAGCUGGUUGGAGGAGUCCCUUCCACUGUGCUUCCCGUCACCCUCCCUAGGUCAGCUUGCUACAGGAGAUAAAUGAUGGCAUGGUGGUACACUCCAUUCCAGAACUUGCCUUGAACUUUUCUCCUGUUCUUUGAUGUUAGAUGAUCUUGCUGAAACCAUUCAGGGAGCCAGACUCGCCUCCUGCAGCCUGUUGUCACUAUGUCUUCUUUUGGCAGGUGGCAGAAUGUCCACCCAGAAUGAUCACUAAUUCAGGGUGCCCUACUCAAGAGAAUAUUAUCCUCAUCCUUAAGGAGUGCUUUGGUUCCUCUCCAUUGGAAGCUGACUGCUCUCACUGCCUUCAGGGACCUGAGUCUAAGGCUCUUCUCCAGGCUUUACCAGACAGCAUGAAACCUGAGCCCACGUUGCUCUCUCCAAGAACAGGCCAUAGAGACAGAAAGCAGAAGCGGUCUUGGGCUCCUGUGGCAGGAGGAGGGCUUGGGUAAUUGGAUGUGGAACAGGCUGAUCACCAUGCAGAUCCAUUAUUGUACUCACCUGGAAGACCAAAGUGGCCCUUGUCCUGUGCGCUGGCUCACGUCCAUCCUGUCUAGGACCUGAGUGUGCCUGAGUUAUCCAUGUUGACAUUCUUGGUCCUGGGGCUUGAACUUUAUUAAGCACCUGUUUGGCUACAUCAUCUCAUUCAGCACCUACCUUGUCUCACUAAACUCUCCUAGGAGCCUUAUAAGCAGGUGUAUGUACCAUGUCAUAAGCAUUUUGUGAAGAAGCAGGUAUCAAGACCUGUGUUCAAAUUUCAGCUUCUCUGCUUACUAGCUGUGUGACUUUGGAUAAAUGACAUAACCUUUCUGAGUUUCAGUUUUUUAUUAUAUUUUUGGCAGUACUGGGGAUUGAACCCUGUGAAGCCAGAUUUAAAGAGAGGUAGUUAGUGUAGCUAGGUAAAUCAGGUCUGCUAUCCAGUGUAAUAGAGAAAAAAGGAGUCAGUCUAAUAACGAAAAUGGAGUCUGGUGUGAGUCCAAGAAAUCAGAAACUGCAAGUGGAAGAUUGAAAUGUUAAUGUCCCCAAGGCCCCGUGCCCCGUCCUAAAGAACUGUUAAUGAAGCAGCUCCCAGCAGAUAGAGAAGUGCUAAUCAGUUCACCCCAGGCCCUUCCUGCCCCAUCACUCCUCCCCUAGCUGCAUGGGCCCACCUGUUUCCCACCUUUGGCCUUCCCUCUGGCAUCCCCCAUCCCAAGUAAGAUAAAGACAGGAAUGCAGAAGGACAAAGAAAACCUUAAAUAUAAAUGGGAAGGACUUCCUCAUACCAUGGAGAAGGGUCCCCUUCUUCCUCUGGGGAGAAAUCGGUUUCUAGUCUCCACUUGCCUGGGUGUUCUUCUCUGAUGUUGCGGAAACAAGGACUCAUCAAAGUAACCAUCAUCUGAGUUGCUCUACCACUGAGCUACAUCCACACUGAUUUUUUUUUUUUUUUGAGAUGGGGUCUUGGCCAGUGGCCCCCAUUGGCUUCAAACAUGCAAUCCUUCUGUAUUGGCCUCCCGAUUAGCUGGGAUUAUGGGUGUCUACCACCAUGGCUGGCUUCAGAUUCCUAUCUUUAAAACACGUGUAAAAACACUUGCCUCUGAGAAUUCAUAUGGGGCUUAACCAUCUUCAUCCCGGGGGCUUGCUAGACUCACUGGGGCAUUGUUAUGCUCAAAUUCAGGACCCCCAAAACACCACCAGAAACCAAGAUCGAUGUAAACAGGAAAGAGGUGUUUAUUGUGAGCUAGCUCAGUCCUCCGUGCACACACACAGCAACUGGUGAUGCUGAGAGGCCCUGAGCCCAGGGUUUGCAGCAGUUUUAUACAUUCUUUGGAGAAGGCAGGGACCCCCACAUACAUCAUAGCAUCUCUUAGCAAAUCAUCACACACCGAGGGAAAAUCAAAUAACAACUCUAAAACAUGAUUAGCAAAUUCACUGGUGGGAACAGGUUGGGUAGGGGUGAUUGGUUAGUACAAAAGGGGUAUUCAUUUGAACUGAUUGGUUUAAGCCAAGAGGGGUGUUCAUGCUGAACUACAUGGUUUCCCAACAUGUUAUCAACCACCAUAAACUACUGGGAGGGUCAUAUGGCAUCCCAGGUAUUUCCCUGUCUCAUGCUGAUUGGUGGCUGCUAGGGGGUUACUAUGGAUCCCCACCUAGCCUGACUGAGUCAGAGACACCUGGCACAGCAGAUCUCUCCAGUUAUUUGUAGAUAAACAAAUUAGCAGGGUGGGAAUGUGCCUAGGAGUGCUCUGUGGGUCUUUCCAAGGACAAAGGUCAUGUCCCUUCCUUGGACAGGCUUUGCUCUGAGGUAGAGGCUGGUUUUUCAGCAUACUGUUUAUAUUCCUGAAAGUGGUUACUGCCAUUCCCCCGGUAUGCUACCUGGCAUGUAGUAGGUACUCAAUAAAAACUUCUUCAGAGAGUACACAAAAGAGUGGCAGUUCAUCAGUUGAUCAAUAAGAAUGAACUGUCUCCUUGAAGCAAAACCCUGUCCUGGGAACUGUGGGGGUCCAGGUGAACAAUGGUGAAAAUUUGUGUUUAUGUAGUGUUUUAUAACUUACAAAGUACACUAAUAUUCUUUCUUUUAAAACUCCCAUCAAACCCAAGACAAGAAGGGUAUUCUUAUUAGUGUCUCUGGAGUUAUCCCAGGAGAGGUUAGGGAAUGGCUGAGACCCUUAAGUGCUUCCCACAGACGGAGGAGAAUCAUUAUAGAGCAGAGGUCAAGGGAUCUAGCAAUAAGGAGGCACUUGGUGACCUUCCAGAAGGCCCUUUCAUGAGGGUGGUGGUGACAGAUGCCAGGGCUUGGUCACUAAGGAAGGUGUGGGCAGGAGGAAAUGACAUCAACCUCUUGGCACUGAGGCAAGGCAGAACUGGGACAGUAGCAGAUCCAGCAAUGGCUUUUUCAAAAUAAGGGUGACCUGUGCAUGGUUACCCCCUGGAAAUGACUUGUUCUGGCUGAUUUAUGACAGCCCAAACUUGGAAAGGGAUAAAUCAUGGCAGCUGAAGAAUCACUUUGAAAAAUGACUCUCCUUCACGAGAGAAUUCUCCAUAGAAUCAAAGUGGCUGGUACACAAAGAAAAAUACACUCAGCCUCCAUGUAAAGUAAGCACGACUUUGAGGAAGAAUGAGAGGCCAUUUUGCUGAUAAGAUUGACCAAGAGGAAAUAGUGUGAUAGGACAGACAGGUGGUGAGAAAGUGGGCAGGAGGCCACUGUCACCCAUCCUGUCGGGAGUGGAAGUGGGUGCACUUUUGGGGAGAAUAGGAUUUUGAAAAUGUCUGCUGCAUUUGAUGUGCACAUUGUCCACCUAGUAAUUUUACUUUUGGAAAAUUAUCCGGUGAGUAUACUAUGUAUCAUCCUAUAGAUAUAUGCAUAUCUCUUGCUAUGGUGUGAGUAUGGUUUGCCCCCUCUGAAACUAUAUUGAAAUGUAAUCCCCAAUAAGAAAGGGUGGAAACUUAAUCCAUCUAUGGGGCCCUUUGAGAGAUAUUUAGAUUAAAGGAGAUCAUCAGGAUAACGUCCCCAUGAUUAAAUUCUGGUGUCCUAAUAAGAAGACACAGGGAGAUCAGGACAAAUACAUAGUGGGUGUGUGCUCUUUCUCUAACCAUGUGAUGCUCUAGGCCACCUCAAGACUCUGCCAAGCAAGAAGACUGUCCACAGAUAUGACCUUGAACCAUCAGCAUGGGUCAAAAUAAACCUCUUUUCUUUAUGACUUAACAGUCUGUGGUAUUGUGUUUUUAGCAUCAGAAAAUAGACUAAUAUGUUUUAAUAUAUGUAUAAAGAUAUAUUCACAGGAUGUUAUUUACCAAGAUGUUCAUUGGAACAUUAGUGUGUGUGUGUGUGUGUGUGUGUGUGUGUGUGUGUGAGAGAGAGAGAGAGAGAGAGAGAGAGAGAGAGAGAGAGAGAGAGAGAGAGAGAGAGAGAGAGAUCCAAGUUACACAGACCAUAGAUACUAUGAUGCAUUCAUUCUGUCACUGCAAGAAAGGUGGUCUAUAUCUCCUAACAUGGUAUGGUGCUCAUCAUUUAUUAAUAGGUGGGGAAAAGAAAACAUGAAAUCAUGAAGGGACAGGCACUUAAAAUGGCUGGGAAGGGCUGGGAUUGUAACUCAGUGGAAGAGUGCUUGCCUAGCAUGUGUGAAGCACUGGGUUCAAUUCUUAACACCUCAUAAAAUAAAAAGUUUAAUUGAAAACUAAAAAACAUUUUUAAAAAUGGCUAGGAAAUAAGAAAGGGUUAAAACUGAUUAUUUUGAAGGAAUGAGAAGGGGCAGAAGUGACUUUAACCUCUCAUAUUAUUUUCUUCCUCUACUUCUGUAAAUUUUAACAUUUAAAAUAAAAUACUGGCAGGUGCAUGACUGUAAUCCCAGCAACUUGGGAGGCCCCAGGAUUGUGAGUUCAAAGCCAGCCUCAGCAAAAGUGAGGCCCUAAGUAACUCAGUGAGACCCUGUCUCUAAAUAAAAUAUAAAAUAAUGUUGGGGAUGUGACUCAGUGGUCGAGUAUCCCUGAGUUCAAUCCCUGCCAAAAAAAAAAAAAUUGAAAAAUGCCAUAUAAAAUUCCUUUAAAUCUCUAGUUCUCCCGUAAAAUUAAAAAAAAAAAUCCAUUUGAAAUAUUUGAUUAGUCACUCCUGUUUCUGGAGCACAUCUGCAUUAAGGUACACCAGUGUGGUUAAAUGACCCACCACCAAUGGGUUUCUGUUAGUAUCUUCUUCUCUACUGUUAGUAUAUUCUCUGUUGUGGAAGCUGGCAAAUUCCCAGGGGGUUAAAGAGUACCGCAAACUCUCAUCAGAAACCUUCCUACAGCCUCCAUGCCCAUUCAAAGCAAGUUCUAUUUUUACAAAUGAUUGACAAGUUGAGGAUUUUGUCCUAUUCUGCAUUGGCAGAUGGAGUGUCCCAAAUCUAAUCUAUCAUGAUAAUCACAGGAUUUUUUUUAAGACAAACUCCUUUAUCAUCCCUCCCCUCUUCUGACCUAGUACAUCUAGGCUGGGUUCCUGAAACUUUUAUUUUUCCAAGUUCUCAAGAUGCCUCAAUAUAGAGCUAGAUCUAGGAAUUACAGCCUUGCUCUGCUUGAGAAUUCUCUUGACUUGGAAAUUACUCUGCAGUAUUGCAGGUCAUUCUCUCUAGAAUAGAAGUCUCUGUUUAUUGGCUUAGCAACGAGAACAUACACACAGUUUCCAGAAGCUUAUUGAUAGGCAGACGAAUGUGCAUGGAAGGACUGUAUUUCUUAAGCUUUUCCAGGUGUUUCUCCUAUAGAGAAUACCCUAGCAUGAUUGCAGCCUUGAUUUUGGCUGAACCCUGAUUGAAGGAGGCAGCACUGAUGAGACCCACUUAAAGCAGUCUUUACCACCCACCUGCUUGUCCCAGAGGUCCUGGGAGAAUUGGAGGCCCUUACUGAAACAACUUUGUCACCUACCUUUGUCAGAGUUUUCCUUGUGGUUCAUUUCAUGGAGAUGGACACCAAUUUUGGAGGCAACUCAGCCUGGUCUUGAAUGUAGAUGCCUUUAUUUUUUUUAAUUUAAAAUUAUUUAUUUAUUCUAAGUUGUCAUAUAUGACCACAAAAUGCAUUUCAGCUCACAGUACACAUAUAGAGCACAAUUUUUCAUUUCUCUGGUUGUACGCAAAGUAGAGUCACACCAUUUUCGUUUUAUAUACAUGUACUUAGGGUAAUGAUUGUCCAUCUCAUUCCACCCUCUUUCCUACCCCUAUGCCCCUCCCUUCUUCUCUCUCCCCUUUUUCCUAUCCAAAGUUCCUCCAUUCCUCCCAUUUUCCUGUCCUCCAUUAUAGAUCAGCAUCCACAUAUUAGAGAAAACAUUUGGCUUUUGGUUUCUUGGGAUUAGCUUAUUCCAUCCAUUUACCUAAAAAUGCCAUGAUUUUGUUCUCUUUUAUUGCUGAGUAAUAUUCCAUUGUGUAUAUAGGCCACAUUUUUUUAUCCAUUCUUCUACUGAAGGGCACCUAGGUUGGUUCCACAGAUUAGCUACUGUGAAUUGUGCUGCUAUAAAUAUUGAUGUGGAUGUGUCCCUGUAGCACUCUGAUUUUAAGUCCUUUGGCUAACAUGUAAGGGUAAAAGAAAUUGAAGUUAAAGCGUAAAAGUUAAAGGGUAAAAGACCGGGUGUUGUAAAGUUUCUAAGCUGCAAGGUCUGAGUUAAAAUGUAAAGGAUUAGGUAUUGUUAGGUUUCUAUGCUACCUGCAAAACCUGAAAUUUCUGUAGCUGUUGAGACAAUGCUUGGAACUGCCCAGUAAAUAUUUCCCCUGACUAUUGGUUGUUUAAUAAGGGCUCUGUGUGGUCGCACAUAGGCAUUGCAGGGCCUGGACCAAUCAGUUUAAAUGUAACCCCCUCCUUAGGAAUGACCUAUCACUCCAGCCUGACCUGUUCCCGCCAAUGAAUGAACCAAUCAUGUUUAGGAGUUGUUAUUCAAUUUUCCCGUGCCUAAUGAUGAUUUGUUCUGAUGUAUACAAAGCCCUCCGCCCUCCCCAAAAAGUGUACUUAAGCAGUGCUCAGCCCCUGCUCGGGGCUCUGGCUGCUUUCCCUUCUUGAGUGGGCACGGAGCCCCAGCAUGCUGGUUCAAUAAAUCCCCCUUCUGCCAAUUGCAUGAGUGGUCACUUGGUGGUCUCUUUCUCCAACGUUUCACGGGACCCUUACAUUUGGUGCGUUGGCCGGGAAAAGCGCAUUGCCGGACAAGGAGACCUCCAACGGACUCCUUUAGGCGGUAAGUAAGGCGCCUCUUCCUCUUCUUCUUCCUCCUUUUCUUCUCCUCCUGUUCUCCUUCUUGUUUUUCCUUUGCGAUCGCUUAGAGCUUUUUGGUUUUUGGCUCGAUGGAGAGCGUAAGUUCUCAGAGCUUUUUGGUUUUUGGCUCGAUGGAGAGCGUAAGUUCUCAGAGCUUUUUGGUUCAGGUUUGGUCUUUGGCUUGGAUUGGUUUGGUUGGGUUGGCAGCGUGGCCGUCAGCGGAGAGUGUAAAUUCUCCCUGGCAGUGGUGACAGACGUGUCCUAAUCCACAGGCCACUCCUCUUAAGGGACGCCUUAGAGGAUUUGGGGGGGGCAAAAGUGCCCCCAGUUGGUAGAGGGACAAGAGUGCCCUCGUUUGUACUCUGCUGCCAACCCGUUUGGUUUCGGUGGCAAUUCUUUCUCUCAGAUUGGAUUCACAGUCUGUCUUUAAUCUUUGCCUCUAAACUUGUGUUAACCAUUUACUGUUUGUCCUUGUCUCUGUGUCACGUUUGUAUUGUCCCUGUCUCUGCCUGAGUAACUCCCAGUAUGGGACAAAGCCAUUCCACGCCUCUGUCCCUGAAGCCUUCCUUGGUCCCUGCCUCCACUCCAACCCCUUCCCCCAAGAUCCUAUCACUCAAUCCUUCUGCUCCUCCCCCUUUUCCCUCCAUUCUCCUUGAGUCACAAGAUUGUAGAUCUUGGGGUUGUGAACAAACGGGAGCUGCAUGAUGAUCUUUGUGUGUCAUUUUGUCUGUGUCUCUGUUAAGUGUGAUGGCAUUGUUUUACUUUGGACCGAUGCAGAGUCCCAAAUUCCAAACGGCCUUAGAUGUGUGGAAGUAACUUUAGCUAAAUUUUAACCUAAUGCUUCUCCUGUGAGGGACCAAAAGUCAAUAGAACCGCCAGCUUUUCUGUUCUCACCUUUUACACCUCUCUUAGCUGUGUUUUAAAGAACUUUGAUAAACUUUACCCCCCUUUGUUGAGCGAGAUUAGGGAAGCAGUGUUUUCUUUUCUUCCCGUAGUUGGCUUGAGCACGCCCACUGCAGAGGGAAAUGCCUGGGGUCUAAAAACUUUGAUAUCUCGCUUAAACUUUUCUCAAACUCGAAACAACUGCAAGCAGAAGAUGAACUUUUUGGGAAGCUGACUACUGAAAAGUUAGGAGAUGUGAGAAAUGCCUAGUGCCUGGGGUCAGACCAAGCCAGAGGAACUAAUCCUAUAAGUAAAAGGUGGAACUAAGGGGCUCCCAGCAGCUGCCAAAGCCAUUUUGCUUUGGGGAGUCUCCUCCUUCCUUACCUGCACUUUAGGGAUUACCCCACCUCUGUUUGCUUAACUAAUGAGACAAUAAAUGCAGUAAUGUGUUGAUGUUAUAAAUUGUUUCUUGGGGAUGAUCUUGGCUAAAUGUGUAUCUAAAAGAUAAAUUUUUUUAUUGUAACAAUCUGGUAUCUGAAUGGGUUUCUAAAGCAUUGCACUAUCUUGCAGUUAAAAGUUGGGUUUAAGCAAUUGUUUAGUUUGAUUUCAGAUAGUUCAUGCUAGAAAACUUAAAUACUUAGGGUAAAAAAAAUUAGAAAGUUUCAAUUUUGAACUGGGUAGCCUGAGAAAAUUUCACUAGGUAUUCCAGUGCAUUAACUUGGGCAAAGAUAAUAAAUUAUGAUAUGAUAUCUGUUCCCCUCAGUGUGUAAGAUUCAAGGAAAAAAAAAGGGGGGUGCUAAAUUAAAACGUUGGUCUGGCUUAUUGAAAUGACAUUAAUUAGCAACAGUCUUGGAAAUUUUUAAGGCUUAAUUUUGGAUAUACAUGAUAAAACUUAAUACUACUUUAGGAACUUCAGAACAAAGGAAGCAGCUUAAUGAUCCUGAGGAAAUUUCCUCUGAUGGUGGCCUUUAUAUUAUCAGAAAAAGAUCCUAUUUUCAGUUUUGUGUGAGCAAGUGUUUCUAAUGUAAAGAGAUAUAAAGAUAUAAAAUUUUGAGAAUUGCAUCUUAAACCUGAAAAUUAUGACUUAUAGCUAAAAUGCCUUAGGCAUGAGGUUUCUGCUCAGAAUUCCAGUUUUCCCAGUUCCUUCCAGACCUCAGCCAGGACUUAAGCUGAUAUGCAAAUAGAAGAAGCUUGGGGCACUCAGCAGGAGACAGAUUUCAGGCCCAAUGGAAAAAAAAAAAGAGUUAAAGUGUCUUUUUACCUGAACUCAAACUAGACCCCAACCAAAAAGUAAAUUAUAUGGUAUUUACUAAUUACUGGCCAGUCAUCUUUUUUUAGGACUCUUGCUUUUUCUUAGAUUCUGUAUUUUUUUUUGAGCUCAUGAUUUUGGUCCUACAGACCUAGGUUAAUGUUUUUCUGAUCAACUGUGGAGUUUUGAAACAUUGCAAUGGAGAUUUCACCUGAAAAAGCUACUAGGGUGUUACACUUGUGUUAUGUGUUGUAUGUCGGUAUGUCUGUAUGUGUGUAUGUCCAUAUAUCCUGCAGUGAUAUGACAAUUGACAGAUGAGGAGCGCUCAUAAAAAAAUUUAAAAAUGGAUCCAAAUAUCUUUGAUUCACGUGAUUCAAAUGGUUCAAUUUAAAUUGGGUAAACAGAUAAAAUGUUGAUGUCUGUAAAAUAAUCUGCUUAAAUUCAGAAAUUUACAGAUAUUGUUUUAAAGUGUGAACAGAAGGAGGUUAACAGAUGGAAAAAAAACUAGAAAGUUUUAGGUAUGGAUUUAAUAGAGGGAAAAUGUGUUUCUGGAUAAGAGAGUCUAUGUGAUUAAGUAAUUAAGAAGGUUUAAGUAAGUGAUAAAAAAGGUUUGUGUAAGUUGGUUAUGUGUGUAAGUUUUUGAGCAAAUAAUCUUAAAGAAAUUAAAGAUUAUACAACUAUGGUUAAACAACAGCUGUUAUUUUUCAAUAUUGUAAUGUUGUUACUUUAAAAGCUAACCUCGGUUAAUAUAAAAACAUCAAUGUAAUUAUGGUGCUGUUAAUGUGUUCAUAUCUUCCAGGUAUACAAGUCUGUAAGGUAGAAGCUUCAAAAGAACAUUGUAUCAAGCUGGUGUUCUAAAGUUGUAUGGUAAUUUUAGGCUUAAAAGAAAAAAAAACAUGUUGGAGAUUUAUUCAUAUCAUUUGUGUUCUACAACUGGACUUGUUAUCAAUAAGAUAUGUACGGUUCCAUGUUACUUUCUACUCUGAGAUACAAUUUAUGUAUUUUUAAGUUAAUGAGAGCCUAAUCUGUGUGAAGGUUUUAUUGCAAAACACAAAAGUACAUUGCUACUUUUCUACAAGAGGUUAAAAGCUUUCAGCCUUUAAUUCAUGUUUUAAAUGUGAUAUUAUGUUGUGUUAGCUAAUGUUCAUGUAAACUUGAACAACAAUUUAUGUAAACUUUGUAAAAUGAUCAGCUUCAGAACUAUAGUACUUGAGAUUUAUAAAGAGCCCUGCCUUACUUGAGAUAAGGCUCUGUCCCAUCUCACUACAUGUGAAAGUGGCUAUGAAAGAAGUAAGCCAGAUUUCAGUACAGUUAAAGUUGUGUCCAAAAGUAGGUUUUUGCCAAGAUUACUAGGAUCUCAAAUAGGGAAUUAUGAUGUAUAACCCUGCCAGAAUUCAAGGUAGCUAUUAUGUAAGCUAAAUAUGUUUUUACCCUAGUUAGUUUUGUUUUGUAGUUUGCUUAUAGAUGGUUUAAGGAUUGCCUGUUAAUGUUUUAAAGAGGUACUGCUUUAAGAACUCACAACCUGGGUCAACUUAAGAUAAGGAGUUAUCACCUACAGGAUAGAGAGAUAGACAUUAAAGCCCAGUGCUCUUAAUAGAAGGCUGUUAACUUAUUUGCUGGAUGUUUAAGAUUAAGUUUUAAAAUUAAAAAUUUGGCUCUUGCCCUCUGAGUCAGUCUGAAUCAGGGAAUAGGGGACUUCUCCAAAGGGCUCUGCAACUCUAGGCCACAUAACAUCCCGAUCAGGGAGAUUAAUGAGACCAGUGGAGGACAGGAGGCCAAUCGGUGCAUUUGCUGUGAAGAGGAGGGUCAUCAGAAAGGGGAGACAUCCCUGAUGCUUCUGAGGGAAGCCACAUGGUCAAGCAAGGCCUGGACCCAUCCUAAGACCACCCAUCACUCGAAUGGCCCUCCAGCCUAAAACUUCUCAAUUGGACUUUUAUCAUGGACCACUCGAUAGACCCGAUAUUUUUAAAGGGGGACUCCAAACUGCUUGCCCCACACCGUCCCUUUUCAGCCUGAAGAAGCCAGAAAGAUUCUCUUCACCCCCCCUUCCUUACAGCAGUAAGGAGUUCCCAAAUUAGAGGGGGAAAUAAAGCCAGAUUUUAAGUUAGGUAGUCAGUGUAGUUAGAUAAAUCGGGGUCUAAUACCGAGUGGAAUCUAAAAUGGAGGCCAUGCUGAAAAUGAUACCAGGGAACGCAAAACAACUCAUAAAAUGUGAAACCCUUCAAUAAUCGUGAUGCAUUACUUUUAAGAUUAAAAGUAGUCAGAAAAAGGAGUGGGGAAUGUAAGGGUAAAAGAAAUUGAAGUUAAAGCAUAAAAGUUAAAGGGUAAAAGACCGGGUGUUGUAAAGUUUCUAAGCUGCAAGGUCUGAGUUAAAAUGUAAAGGAUUAGGUAUUGUUAGGUUUCUAUGCUACCUGCAAAACCUGAAAUUUCUGUAGCUGUUGAGACAAUGCUUGGAACUGCCCAGUAAAUAUUUCCCCUGACUAUUGGUUGUUUAAUAAGGGCUCUGUGUGGUUGCACGUAGGCAUUGCAGGGCCUGGACCAAUCAGUUUAAAUGUAACCCCCUCCUUAGGAAUGACCUAUCACUCCAGCCUGACCUGUUCCCACCAAUGAAUGAACCAAUCAUGUUUAGGAGUUGUUAUUCAAUUUUCCCGUGCCUAAUGAUGAUUUGUUCUGAUGUAUACAAAGCCCUCCGCCCUCCCCAAAAAGUGUACUUAAGCAGUGCUCAGCCCCUGCUCGGGGCUCUGGCUGCUUUCCCUUCUUGAGUGGGCACGGAGCCCCAGCAUGCUGGUUCAAUAAAUCCCCCUUCUGCCAAUUGCA